rnacentral:tRNA from 1 species
ACUUGUCUAGCUCAGUUAGUAGAGCACAAGGCUUUUAAUCUUGUGGUCGUGGGUUCAAGCCCCAUGAUGGGCA